AGGAUAAACGCUGGCGGCGUGCCUAACACAUGCAAGUCGAACGUCCUACGCAAGUAGGGAGUGGCGGACGGGUGAGUAACACGUGGGCAAUCUACCUUUCGGUGAGGAAUACCGGCGAGAAAUCGCCGACAAUACCGCAUACGCUUCGCAAGAAGCAAAGUCGCAAGACGCCGGAGGAGGAGCCUGCGCCCGAUUAGCUGGUUGGUGGAGUAAUGGUCUACCAAGGCGACGAUCGGUAGCUGGUCUGAGAGGAUGACCAGCAUCACUGGGACUGAGACACGGCCCAGACUCCUACGGGAGGCAGCAGUGGGGAAUAUUGGACAAUGGGCGCAAGCCUGAUCCAGCCAUGCCGCGUGGAUGAUGAAGGCCUUAGGGUUGUAAAGUCCUUUUAACGGGGAAGAUAAUGACGGUACCCGUAGAAUAAGCCCCGGCUAACUUCGUGCCAGCAGCCGC
rnacentral:rRNA from 1 species